rnacentral:misc_RNA from 1 species
UGGUGUUUGGGUUGUCGCUGCCGGCUGGCUCUGUGCCCGCCCACCGAACUGUCGGCGCGCGAUCCUCCCCUGUUGCUUUGAGGUGGGAUGGUUACUCGGAGGCCGGUUCUUGUGCUGCCUACCCGCUCGGGGGAAGCAUGCCGCACGACGGUCAGCCUCCAUCCGGCGCCCCCGAAAGGGCGCCGGAGGACAACGAUGCGCCCCCCGUGUUCCAACGAGCCUUCGCCGGCCGCGUGGCCCUCGGGGACGCGCAGCGCUCUCGGACCCAGCGCACGCCGCGGACGAGGACUCACGUCCAAGUCCCAAGAGAAGCCCCGAUCUCACGAGUGACGGCCGCGCCCGCCCCUCGGCCGCCCCGGCGGUGCGGGGGCGCGCGGCGUCCCUAAGGAAUGCUACCUGGUUGAUCCUGCCAGUAGUCAUAUGCUUGUCU